rnacentral:rRNA from 1 species
CUCGUAGGCGGUCUGAUAAGUCCUGUGUGAAAUCCCUUGGCUCAACCAAGGAACUGCGCCGGAUACUGUCGGACUAGAGGCCGGGAGAGGGAAGCGGAAUUCCCAGUGUAGCGGUGAAAUGCGUAGAUAUUGGGAGGAACAUCGGUGGCGAAGGCGGCUUCCUGGACCGGUUCUGACGCUGAUGAGCGAAAGCUAGGGUAGCAAACA